UACGGAGGGUGCAAGCGUUAUCCGGAUUCACUGGGUUUAAAGGGAGCGUAGGUGGGCUGGUAAGUCAGUGGUGAAAUCCCCGAGCUUAACUUGGGAACUGCCAUUGAUACUAUCAGUCUUGAAUACUGUGGAGGUUAGCGGAAUAUGUCAUGUAGCGGUGAAAUGCGUAGAUAUCGAGAGGAACACCUGCGGCGAAGGCGGGUUGCUGGGCUGACACUGACGCUGAUGCGCGAAAGCCAGGGGAGCGAACGGG
rnacentral:rRNA from 1 species